GUACUCACUUUGGCAGCACAUACUAAAGUAGAAAUUGUACAGAGAUUCUCAUGGUCUCUGUACAAGGAUGACAUGCAAAUUUGUGAAAUGUUCCACAGUGAA